rnacentral:rRNA from 1 species
UUUGACCUCAAAUCAGGUAGGACUACCCGCUGAACUUAAGCAUAUCAAUAAGCGGAGGAAAAGAAACUAACAAGGAUUCCCCUAGUAACUGCGAGUGAAGCGGGAAAAGCUCAAAUUUAAAAUCUGGCGGUCUCUGGCCGUCCGAGUUGUAAUCUAGAGAAGUGUUAUCCGCGCUGGACCGUGUACAAGUCUCCUGGAAUGGAGCGUCAUAGAGGGUGAGAAUCCCGUCUUUGACACGGACUGCCAGGGCUUUGUGAUGCGCUCUCAAAGAGUCGAGUUGUUUGGGAAUGCAGCUCAAAAUGGGUGGUAAAUUCCAUCUAAAGCUAAAUAUUGGCGAGAGACCGAUAGCGAACAAGUACCGUGAGGGAAAAGAUGAAAAGAACUUUGGAAAGAGAGUUAAACAGUACGUGAAAUUGCUGAAAGGGA